rnacentral:lncRNA from 1 species
AAUUUUAUUUACAUCUUUAAAAGAAAAUUGAGCUACGUGAAUAUAAUAACUACGUUUCAAAUAAGACAGUAAUGUAUAAUUGCAUAACAAAAUCAUAACAAUGUCUUAAGGAUGUUCGCUACUCGCUAACAAGUUUUUUUAUAGUAUCGAUUGGUAGAUUAAGAUAUAACAAAACCUUAAAGAACAUAUAAGUACGAGAGGUCCGUGAUCUUGUUUUUGAGGUAUAAGCUUUUGAAAUUUGCCGGGAAAUGAAACUCUCUAGAUUUUUCAUACAUUUCAUUUGCAUUUAGCAUUCAAUUUGUUUAACAUUUGAAUAUUUUUUCUUUCAAAAACUGAAAAACGAUUAUAUUACAUUUUCAAAAAUAGCUUUUCAAAAAUAAUAAUAAUAAUUAAAGUUAUUAUAAUAACCCUUCAUAGAUAAAACAAAAAAAUUGUGAAUAUCUGACGAAGAGUAAAAAAAAAAAAAGAGUAACAAACAUCCUCAAUUAUAAAAAUGUAAUAAAAUCAAUAAAAAUAUAUUCCCAUCUUUGAUGAUUUUUUUUGGCACAAAUAUUAAAAAAAUGACGGAACAAAAGUUUUUUGUUUUCAUUAUGUUCCCAAAACAAUUGAGUCAACUAUAUGUAUCACAAUGCAUUCUAAUGAUGUUGUAUUCUGACGAGUAGGUAUCCCAGUGGUAUGAAAACAUAUGAUUCAUGUCACAUACCAAAAUCAGAAAAAAAAGAAAUGUCUAAUGAACAAAACAAUAAAUUCACAUCUAAACAGGCAAUGUAUGUGCAAGUUAUUAUGCAAAAAACCCAAAAUAAUAGAAAAUGACUGCAAGUAUACGACCAGUAACAUUUGUUUGGUCUAGCAUGUUGAAUGCAACAUAAAAAAAAAAAAAACCAAGACAACUGAAUUAUUAUGAACAUUUGUAUCGUAAAAAUAAAAAUUACAAUGUAGUAGUCGAGAACAUGUAAAUUAAAAAAAAAAACGAUUAAUUGAUUGAUUGAUUGGUUCAUUAUUGAUUACUUGGUUGAUUGAUUGACUGAUUGAUUGCUAACAAGUGUUUAACGUCGAAAAGGAGCAUAUACAAGAUAUAGGCGGAAUCAAAGAGGUUUAUCUGAACAAUUUACGGUAAAUGUUGGUUAUAGAAAAGGAAAAUACAUAAUUUUAGGUUAUAAAGACAAAUUAAAGUAUCAGAAGUCUGUACAACUACAGUUUUUAAAAGAGAUAAAAUGAACAAUGUUUUGCCCCCCCCCCUCCCCCCUAUGAUUAUACGAUGGCUGCGGUCAACUCUCUACUGAAACGAUUACAGUGGUCAAUUCUCUACAUGAUGACAGUGAUCAACCCUCCACACGAUUGUAGUAAUCAACUCUCUACUCAACUAUCUACAUGGUAGCAGUAAUCAACUCUCUUCACGAUUACAGUGAUCAACUCUUUACACGACGACAGUGGUCAAUUAUCUACACGAUUACAGUGAUCAAAUCUUUACACGACGACAGUGGUCAAUUAUCUACACGAUUACAGUGAUCAACUCUUUCCACGACGACAGUGGUCAAUUAUCUAGACGAUGGCAGUGGUCAACUCUACACGACGACAGUGGUCAAUUCUCUACACGAUAGCAAUGGUCAACUCUCCACACGCUUGAAGUGGUCAACUGUUUACACGACGACAGUGGUCAACUCUACAUCAUGAACACUAUUGUGGCAAUGGUCAAUUAUCUACACAAUGACAGUGGUCAACUCUUUACUUCAACUAUCCAUUUGAGCUAGAAGCAAUUAAAUACACAUAAAAAUAAAACAAAUAAAAACAUGAUAUAAAAGAUAAGAUACGUUUCCAUAUUUAUAAAUGAUGUAUAAAAUUCCACAUCACUCGUAAAAGUUAAAAAUAAACUUAACCGAAAUUGGUUAAACUUUUAUAACCAUUCAUCGAAAUUGGUUAAACUCCCUUGGAAUCCCGAGGAGAAAUUGCACAUUUUGGCGCAAUUCGUAAUUUUAGUCUGGAAUCGAUUCACGCGGAGGUUUAUUGUCAAUGAAAAUCGGAUCCAGAGUGAAUGUACACACCGUGAAACAGCCUCAAUGAAUUGUUCCACAGUACUCGAAACUCUCCGCGGAUUUCGGAACCCUCCGUGGAUUUUGGAUCGGGAUACCUGCUGUAUGUUGUUUCGACUAUUACAUGACUAUAGAGGGUACUAAACGAACAAUACUACUCAUAAAAAUUGCGAAAACAUAAAUAAAUUUCAUUUUUUUUAACCAAAUUGCAAAAAUAAUACACAUAUACAAAAAUUACACUUAAAUGCACACGAAAUACACAUUGAAAAAGUAUAAAAAGAUUGGUCCCUUUCCAGCAAAAAUUUGUUAUAAAAAUAAAAUGUUUGGCCAUCUUGAAUUAUUCCUAAAUAUAAUAUAUAAUAUAUAUACAUACAAAACAAUAUAUAAACAUAUACAUGGUAUAUAAAUGGUCGAUUUCGUGAUAACAUCGGAUGGAUAUGAAAUAAAAAAGGCCAGAAAAUGGCCGGGAUUAAACUUUGAACCCCGUUGAAUUAUGCAUGUGCAAGAUGUGUGUGAAGUGGAAUGAAUAUUACGAAUUAUU